GCCUACGGCCACACCACCCUGAAUGCGCCCAAUCUCGUCUGAUCUCGGAAGCUAAGCAGGGUUGGGCCUGGUUAGUACUUAGAUGGGAGACCGUCUGAGAAUACCAGGUGCCGUAGUAG